rnacentral:rRNA from 1 species
UACAGAGGUCUCAAGCGUUGUUCGGAUUCAUUGGGCGUAAAGGGUGCGUAGGUGGCGAGGUUAGUCAGGUGUGAAAUCUCGGGGCUCAACCCCGAAACUGCACUUGAUACUGCCUUGCUAGAGUACUGGAGAGGAGAUUGGAAUUUACGGUGUAGCAGUGAAAUGCGUAGAUAUCGUAAGGAAGACCAGUGGCGAAGGCGAAUCUCUGGACAGUUACUGACACUGAGGCACGAAGGCC